UACGUAGGGACCGAGCGUUGUCCGGAAUCAUUGGGCGUAAAGAGCGUGUAGGCGGCCUUUUAAGUCCUGCGUGAAAUCCUGCGGCUCAACCGCAGACGGUCGUGGGAAACUGGAAGGCUAGAGUGCGGGAGAGGAGAGUGGAAUUCCCGGUGUAGCGGUGAAAUGCGCAGAUAUCAGGAGGAACACCGGUGGUGUAGACGGCUUACUGGACCAUAACUGACGCUGAGACACGAAAGCGUGGGUAGCAAACAGG
rnacentral:rRNA from 1 species